CAGUAGCCGCGGGAAUACGUAGGGUGCAAGCGUUAUCCGGAAUUAUUGGGCGUAAAGAGCUCGUAGGCGGUUUGUCGCGUCUGCUGUGAAAACUGGAGGCUCAACCUCCAGCCUGCAGUGGGUACGGGCAGACUAGAGUGCGGUAGGGGAGAUUGGAAUUCCUGGUGUAGCGGUGGAAUGCGCAGAUAUCAGGAGGAACACCGAUGGCGAAGGCAGAUCUCUGGGCCGUAACUGACGCUGAGGAGCGAAAGCAUGGGGAGCGAACAGGAUUAGAUACCCCAGUAGUCCCUGUCUCUUAUAC
rnacentral:rRNA from 1 species